GUUUUUAUAGUUUAAUAUAAAACAUUGGUCUUGUAAACCAAAAUUAAGUAAUUACUUUAAAAUCA
rnacentral:tRNA from 1 species